UUGGUUUGGUUUUUGUUUUUAUUUUUUCUUUCAGAAAUACACACACAGUCACCAAAUGGAAAUGAAGGUCUGACAUUGAGGAUUGCAGUAUAAUAGGAGAAGAAAGGGGAUGUAACACGAAAGAAUACUGCAAUAUUUUCAGUGAGGCAGUAGAUUUGACCAUCCGUCUACAGCUUCUGAUUGUAGAAAGAGCAGGGAGCCUCUAUUGUACUGAUAUAAUCUUCAGUCUUUUAUUCCAAAACACUCAGUGGCUAAGAGGGCAAUGCAGUGGUUUGAUUUUUGAGACAUCAAGAGGAUGCUACAAAUAAUAUGCUUAGUAUGCAUUUAUAUAGAUUUCUGUGGAAAAAAAAAUUGAAGCAGAUAAAAAUGGAUUUUGAUGUUCUACAGAUUACUCACGGUACCAUAAUAAUUUCAUGUUCUGAAAGGAACUAUUUUCUUGGGACAGAAAAGAAUCCUGUUUGAUCAGUCAACAGUCAAGAAAAGGAGAAGGAAGCAAUCUUAUUUCUGUUUGUACCUGAUUCUUCCCCUGAGUUCAUUUUCUAAGAGACUACAUAACCUUUUCAGAAUAAAGAACUGUUUUUCUCUUU
rnacentral:lncRNA from 7 species